AGUCGUAACAUAGUAGACGUACCGGAAGGUGUGUCUGGAAUUAUGAGUAGAUAGCUUAAAAUUAAAGUUUAUUAUUUACACUAAUAAGAUAUUUGUAAAAAUUUUUACUAUUGAAAAUAAUUCUUAUAAAUUGUUGAUUUACUGUAAAGGAUAAAAUUUAUAAAAAUAUAUUAAUAAUUUUUUUAAUUGUACCUUUUGUAUCAGGAUUAAUUAAAAUUUAAUUUUUAUAAUUUUUUCUCGAAAAGAAAAUAUUUAUAUAUUUAAUAAUUUUAGUGUAGUAAAAUUAAAAUGAAAUUUUAUAUGGUAUUGAAAUAAUAUUCGAUUUUUUAUAUCUAGUUACUUUAAUAAUUAAUAUAAUUAAUAAAAUUUUUCGUUUUAUAAAAAUUUAAAAUUUAUUGGGGGAUAAUCUUAAAUUUUUUUUAAUAGUAGAAAAAUUAUUUAUUAUAAUUAAGCUUAAAAUUAGCUAUUAUCUUUAUUUGUUAAAAAUAAUUAUUAAAUAUAUAAUAUUAUUUAUAUUGCUUUAAAAGGGGAGUUAAAGUAAUAUAAUUUAGUAUAAUUUUUAUAAAAAUAAUGAUUAAAUUAGUAGAUUUUAAUAUUUUUGAUAUAAGAAUUCGGCAAAUAUUAAAUUUCGCCUGUUUAACAAAAAC
rnacentral:rRNA from 1 species